CAGUCGCCACGGGAAUACGAGGGGGGCAAGCGUUGUUCGGAUUUAUUGGGCGUAAAGGGUGCGUAGGCGGUUUGGCAAGUUUGGUGUGAAAUCUUCGGGCUCAACUCGAAGUCUGCAUCAAAAACUGCCGGGCUUGAGUAUGGGAGAGGUGAGUGGAAUUUCCGGUGUAGCGGUGAAAUGCGUAGAUAUCGGAAGGAACACCUGUGGCGAAAGCGGCUCACUGGACCAUUACUGACGCUGAGGCGCGAAAGCUAGGGGAGCAAACAGGAUUAGAUACCCCAGUAGUCCCUGUCUCUUAUAC
rnacentral:rRNA from 1 species